rnacentral:rRNA from 1 species
UACGUAGGGCGCAAGCGUUGUCCGGAAUUAUUGGGCGUAAAGAGCUCGUAGGCGGUUUGUCGCGUCUGCUGUGAAAACUCGAGGCUCAACCUCGGGCUUGCAGUGGGUACGGGCAGACUAGAGUGCGGUAGGGGAGACUGGAAUUCCUGGUGUAGCGGUGAAAUGCGUAGAUAUCAGGAGGAAUACCUAUGGCGAAGGCAGCUCGCUGGGACGGUACUGACGCUGAGGCGCGAAAGCGUGGGGAGCAAACAGG